AAAAAAGGUUAAACAGAAAGAAUACGUUCAAAGAUCUUAUAAUGGUUCAAAAGCUAAAACGCAAUUGAAAAUGAAAUGCCAUUCAAAGAUGCAGACCUACCCCGAUAUUUCCAUCCCUAGAGUUUGCAUUAAUUACAAUCACAUGGUUUCCAUACACUGAGCACUGACACAUCCUGAGUAAGAGAGAAUGAUAGCUAUACUAUUCUACAGCACUACACUGAUAACUGACUAAAAGUCUACAAGCGUCAGCUUCGAAACAAUCAAUAGUCAUAACAGCUCAAAUAUCCAGAUAUAACCCAAGCGCUAAAUCUUCUCACAAAAGGAUAAAAUUGCCUCACCUUGACCAAGAGUAAACUUGAAUGGCGUCCCUUUAUCUCGACUGGAAUCGAACUGAGUCCCAUCCAGCAACGUCCCCGUGUAAUGAACUUCCACCUCAUCGCCGUUUUCAGGAGUGUCCCAACCUUCACCUUCCUUGAGAAGUUUCUUCUUCAAUCCUUGCUUCCCAAUCUCCUUCUCCUCGCCCACCUUCAAAAUGGGGCUCUCGUCGGGAAGAUCCAUGUCCUCGUUCAUCAUCCCGUCUCCGGCUGGAAGAUCGAAAUCCUCUUCCAUGUGGAUGCUCGCAAAACAAUCAAGAGCGAUCUAAGCAGAUGGAAGGAGAAAAGACUUUGGAAGAAUCUAGAGAGAGAACAAGUUCUGGUUUGAGGUAGGGAGUGAACAAGAGAGGAGUUUAUAGUGGGGCUAGUUAGAGGGGGAAGAACCCA
rnacentral:misc_RNA from 1 species